rnacentral:lncRNA from 1 species
CAAGACUGCAAGUGAAACAACUUUGGUGCCACUGGGUGAAGAGGGUGGGCGAGUGGACGGGCGGCGGACGAGGGAGGAUAAGAUGGGGAACGUUUGAUAGACAAACCGAAAUAUCCUCAAAGAACUCGUCAAAGAGCGAGGGAGAAGGGGAGAGAGAGAGAGAGAGAGAGCGAUAGAGAGCAAGUAGGAAAGAUGUGAUUCGAAGCCCGAACAAAUCUCAGUCUGGGACUGAUGAAUGAGAGGAAUUCAUGCCUCCUCCAAAUGACCUGCAUUCCCCCUCGCGGUGGGAACGACACAAGGCUCCGCUGUGUUUCAUCCCCAGCAGCCCAUCCUCUCACCUGUGCAAAUUACCGUGUGCAAACAGACUGGAUCUCUCGCUAGCUUCAUGUGGUUGGCCACUUCCCUCGCCGGGACAGGCCCUACUCAGGAGAAAUAAGCCGUUUCCUGUUCGUCGAGGGGAAAGAUAUGCCCCCACUGUGUAACGACAAAAAGGAAAAUGAAGAUAAGGUGAAAACCAGCUUGGUGGAAGAAAAAAAGACAACAAAUAAAAGGGAAGUAAGAACAUUUUUUUUCAGUAUGCUGAACAUACUGUACUCAAUUAUGUAUAUUUGUCACUUAUUGCAUCUGAUGGCUGUCAUCUCCAUUGGCACCUCCUUCGACUGCACCUCAAGUGUUUAAUUUGCAGUAUAUGGCAACAUCUGGUGGCUCUUGAGGCUAAAUGAUAAGUUUAGAAUGUGCAACAAUCAAUAGUUGUCAAGUGUUGCUUUUCACAUGGUGUCACAGGCUGUCAAGAAGUCACAAAAUCAUUAUGCACUGACGGUAUUUUGUCUCCUAUGCUGAAAAUCAUGACGGCUAUUACUGGAAAAUUUAGUUCAUGCGAGUUUGACAUGUAUAUUCAUGACCACUACAAUUGGUGUGUUUGAUAGAUUUUUCCUAUUUGUUAAUUGGUGUCCACAUUUGAUUCCACGAUACCGUAAGUGCUCUUCUUUACAGGACGUUGUUCUGUGUUUUCUUAAUGCUUUUCACGUUUGAGAAAUGUGGUCAGAACAUUGUAUGCGUCCGAGAAAUUUGUUCCGUUACUAAGCUCUGACAAACCUAGUUUCUGGUGCAGUUGUAUGCGCAUGGUAUCUGUGAAGAAAUAAUGAUCACAAUUUGGCCACAGGGGAGCGAAGACAACAUUAAGGACGUGUACUCAUACAAUAUGUAAAGCUCUGUGGAGACACAUGCCCAGACUGCAGUGCCCUCGUGUAAAAGCAUAUCGCUUCACUUUUAUCAUUGCAACAUAGAUUAUUAAUGAACAUUGUAAUGAAACGUGGCAAUGCAAUGUUGAAUUAAAUAAUUUUAAAGCAUUGCAUCAUAAAUAAAUAUCAUCUUAAGCUAUCUUUUAUAGCAGCUUUUUUGAUUUCUUCUUCCAGUUUUACCUGCAGUAAUAGAAACUCCUUCUUUCAUCAGUAAUAAUAGGUGUAUCUUACCAGUAAGUUAUGUACAACUUGUAUUAGGAAAAAUCACAUAUAUAUAUAUAGAUAUAUAUACAAAAGAAAAGAAAACAAACUUUCAGCCAGAGUAAGACGUAAAAA